UUUAACACAACGAUUCUAAGUUCUCUAAAGUCUGUCUUUAGAGCUAAGAGGGAAACAGGUGAGAGACCUGUACAGUCGUGCUACUGUAAAUGUGUAGUUUUUUCAGUGACUUUUAUAUAGAAGUCAACCAUUGUGCCAAGGCAUGAGAAGGUAGAAAAAACGUUACUGCAUAAGUCAGGAGACCUGCUUAGAAUUUCUUCCAUUU
rnacentral:ncRNA from 2 species